AUACGGAGGGUGCAAGCGUUAAUCGGAAUUACUGGGCGUAAAGCGCGCGUAGGCGGCUGAUUAAGUCGGAUGUGAAAUCCCUGGGCUCAACCUAGGAACUGCAUCCGAUACUGGUCAGCUAGAGUUUUGGAGAGGUAAGUGGAAUUUCCGGUGUAGCGGUGAAAUGCAUAGAGAUCGGAAGGAACACCAGUGGCGAAGGCGACUUACUGGCCAAAAACUGACGCUGAGGUGCGAAAGCGUGGGUAGCGAACAGAAUUAGAUACCCCAGUAGUCC
rnacentral:rRNA from 1 species